rnacentral:rRNA from 1 species
GGUGGGGAUUAGUGGCGAACGGGUGAGUAACACGUGGGCAAUCUGCCCUGCACUCUGGGACAAGCCCUGGAAACGGGGUCUAAUACCGGAUACUGAUCCUCGCAGGCAUCUGUGAGGUUCGAAAGCUCCGGCGGUGCAGGAUGAGCCCGCGGCCUAUCAGCUUGUUGGUGAGGUAAUGGCUCACCAAGGCGACGACGGGUAGCCGGCCUGAGAGGGCGACCGGCCACACUGGGACUGAGACACGGCCCAGACUCCUACGGGAGGCAGCAGUGGGGAAUAUUGCACAAUGGGCGAAAGCCUGAUGCAGCGACGCCGCGUGAGGGAUGACGGCCUUCGGGUUGUAAACCUCUUUCAGCAGGGAAGAAGCGAAAGUGACGGUACCUGCAGAAGAAGCGCCGGCUAACUACGUGCCAGCAGCCGCGGUAAUACGUAGGGCGCGAGCGUUGUCCGGAAUUAUUGGGCGUAAAGAGCUCGUAGGCGGCUUGUCACGUCGGUUGUGAAAGCCCGGGGCUUAACCCCG